rnacentral:rRNA from 2 species
GAGUUUGAUUCUGGCUCAGGAUGAACGCUAGCGGCAGGCCUAAUACAUGCAAGUCGAGGGGCAGCAUAGAUACUUGUAUCUGAUGGCGACCGGCGGACGGGUGCGUAACGCGUAUGCAACUUACCUACAACACUGGGAUAGCCCGUGGAAACAUGGAUUAAUACCGGAUAAAGCAGGGGUACUACCUGGUACUAUUUGCUAAAGAUUUAUCGGUUGUAGAUGGGCAUGCGUAUGAUUAGAUAGUUGGUGAGGUAACGGCUCACCAAGUCUGUGAUCAUUAGGGGGUCUGAGAGGAUGAUCCCCCACACUGGCACUGAGAUACGGGCCAGACUCCUACGGGAGGCAGCAGUAGGGAAUAUUGGUCAAUGGGGGCAACCCUGAACCAGCCAUGCCGCGUGCAGGAAGACGGCCUUCUGGGUUGUAAACUGCUUUUGACAGGGAAGAAAGUGAGCCAUGCGUGGCUUUUUGACGGUACCUGUAGAAUAAGCACCGGCUAACUCCGUGCCAGCAGCCGC